AUUGAACGCUGGCGGCAGGCCUAACACAUGCAAGUCGCGCGAGCGGCGGACGGGUGAGUAAUGUAUGGGGACUGCCCGAUAGAGGGGGAUAACUACUGGAAAAGGUAGCUAAUACCGCAUACUAUCGGAUAACCCAUAUGGAAUUAGCUAGUAGGUGAGGUAAUGGAUCACAUAGGCGACGCUCCCUAGCUGGUCUGAGAGGAUGAUCAACUACACUGGGACUGAGAAACGGCGCAGAGUCCUACGGAGGCAGCAGUGGGGAAUAUUGCACAAUGGGCGCAAGACUGAUGCAGCCAUGCCGCGUGUAUGAAGAAGGCCCUAGGGUUGUAAAGUACUUUCAGUCGGGAGGCGUUACCGACAGAAGAAGCACCGGCUAACUCCGAGCCAGCAGCCACGGUAAUAC
rnacentral:rRNA from 1 species